UACGUAGGGUGCGAGCGUUAAUCGGAAUUACUGGGCGUAAAGCGUGCGCAGGCGGUUAUGCAAGACAGAUGUGAAAUCCCCGGGCUCAACCUGGGAACUGCAUUUGUGACUGUAUAGCUAGAGUACGGUAGAGGGGGAUGGAAUUCCGCGUGUAGCAGUGAAAUGCGUAGAUAUGCGGAGGAACACCGAUGGCGAAGGCAAUCCCCUGGACCUGUACUGACGCUCAUGCACGAAAGCGUGGGGAGCAAACAGG
rnacentral:rRNA from 1 species